GACGAACGCUGGCGGCGUGCUUAACACAUGCAAGUCGAACGGAAAGGCCCUGCUUUUGUGGGGUGCUCGAGUGGCGAACGGGUGAGUAACACGUGAGUAACCUGCCCUUGACUUUGGGAUAACUUCAGGAAACUGGGGCUAAUACCGGAUUGGAGCUCCUGCUGCAUGGUGGGGGUUGGAAAGUUUCGGCGGUUGGGGAUGGACUCGCGGCUUAUCAGCUUGUUGGUGGGGUAGUGGCUUACCAAGGCUUUGACGGGUAGCCGGCCUGAGAGGGUGACCGGCCACAUUGGGACUGAGAUACGGCGCAGACUCCUACGGGAGGCAGCAGUGGGGAAUAUUGCACAAUGGGCGGAAGCCUGAUGCAGCAACGCCGCGUGCGGGAUGACGGCCUUCGGGUUGUAAACCGCUUUCGCCUGUGACGAAGCGUGAGUGACGGUAAUGGGUAAAGAAGCACCGGCUAACUACGUG
rnacentral:rRNA from 1 species